rnacentral:lncRNA from 1 species
CAAAUUCAGAAUAACAAGGACUUAAAAAGGAAAGCACAGUGGUGCACAUAAAAUUAAUGUAUUGUUAAGAACUGUAUUUGCCAUUACAUCGAAACCAGAGAAAACAGAAGAACUGUUAAAAAUAAAAUCAGCCUCUGAUAUUUUUGUGACUUUAUUGCAGGCUCUUCGGUCCUGGAGAGUUGAUAAGUCUGUUUUUUCCUAUUGAAGAUCAGCGUGUGUGAACCUUCUUCCAAAGCAGGAAACUUUAAAUGGACUUCCAGCAAGUGCUGAGCUGCAGGGCUUUACAUGUCAGCAGUGCCACUGAAAUCAGCAGAAAAUUUGUAGAACAAAGUGUUGAAGAUCUUUCCCUAAUCAGAGAAGAAAUUGUCUGGUGCACAACUGCUUCACAUUUCACAAACCUUCACGCUCCUCUGUGAAAAGCUAACAGCUGCAGGAUUUGGUCAAAACAAGCAACCAGAGGACAAGACUGCGAGAGAGUUUGAGGGAAGAUAGCAAAACAAUUUCAGAAAAUCCUAUUACAGCAAAACAAAAGUUCUAUUUGUUUUGUUCUUAUGUUCUGUUUUAUGAAGCUGUACUGUCUGUAGCUAUCAGAUAAUCUUGCUGAACUUCAGUGUCCCUGCUAUUAAAUGUGUAAUAUAUAAGACCAUGAAUUUAUCUUUCCGUUUUCAGUAAAAAAGUAAUUGAAACAAAGCUGUUUUGCUGUCCCACUAGCCUGAUUCUGCAGGGAACAGGCACUUCAUCAUGUAGUUUUUGAAUAGUGGAUUGUGAUAACAAAAACAAAUACCAACAGACAGAUGAAAUAAAGGAACAGGCUUUUAUAUGAAUAAAAGCA